UACGGGGGGAGCAAGCGUUGUUCGGAUUUACUGGGCGUAAAGGGCGCGUAGGCGGCGUGUUAAGUCACUUGUGAAAUCUCCGGGCUUAACUCGGAACGGUCAAGUGAUACUGUCGGACUAGAGUACAGAAGGGGCAACUGGAAUUCUCGGUGUAGCGGUGAAAUGCGUAGAUAUCGAGAGGAACACCAGUGGCGAAGGCGGCGAUCUGGGGAAGAUACUGACGCUGAGGUGCGAAAGCGUGGGGAGCAAACAGG
rnacentral:rRNA from 1 species